rnacentral:ncRNA from 1 species
AAAUUGUUUUAUUUUGGCAGUUUUAUUAGUUUAUAGUUUGAUUUAUAUGUAAAUUUUUGUGGUAAUUUAUAAUUAAUUUAAUAUUACUUAUAAUUUAAGGUUUACAAUAAUUAUUAUUAUUAAUUAAAGAAAUUUAGAGAUAGUAAUAUUAUAUAGCAUUAGUUAAUUUUGUGCCAGCAACUGCGGUUAUACAAUUAAUGUUAAUUAAUAUUUUUGGUUAAAGUUAAAUUAUUGUUUUUAAGAAUAAAUAAUGCUUAUUAGGUAAAAUUUUAAGUUUUUAUAUUUUUAUUAUUUUUUUAUUGAAUCUUGAAAAUUUUAAUGAUAAACUAGGAUUAGAUACCCUAUUAUUAAAAAUGUGAUUUUUAUAGCUUAGGUAGUAAUAGUUAUGAUCUUUAAACUUAAAAAAUUUGGCGGUAUUUUAGUCUGUUCAGAGGAACUUGUUUUAUAAUCGAUAAUCCACGGUAGACCUUACUUAAUUUUGUAAUCAAUUUAUAUACCGUUGUUAUAAGAAUAUUUUAUUAGAAAUGUUAAUUUUCAAAAUUUUUUAUUAGAGAGUAUAUCAGAUCAAGGUGUAGUUUAUGGUUAAGUAAAAAUGAGUUACAAUAAAUUUAUUUAAACGAAUUUAAAUUUGAAAAAUUUUUUUGAAGGAGGAUUUGAAAGUAAAAUUUGAUAUAAAAAAUAAUUGAUUUAGCUCUAAAAUAUGUACAUAUUGCCCGUCACUUUUAUUAUUAAGGUAAGAUAAGUCGUAACAUAGUAGAUGUACUGGAAAGUGUUUCUAGAAUGCA